GUGCCCGUAGCUCAGUUGGAUAGAGCAAGUGCCUUCUAAGCACUAGGUCGGAGGUUCGACUCCUCUCGGGCACGCCA
rnacentral:tRNA from 1 species